GGGGAAUAUUGCGCAAUGGGGGGAACCCUGACGCAGCCAUGCCGCGUGAAUGAAGAAGGCCUUAGGGUUGUAAAGUUCUUUCGGUAUUGAGGAAGGUUGAUGUGUUAAUAGCACAUCAAAUUGACGUUAAAUACAGAAGAAGCACCGGCUAACUCCGUGCCAGCAGCCGCGGUAAUACGGAGGGUGCGAGCGUUAAUCGGAAUAACUGGGCGUAAAGGGCACGCAGGCGGUUAUUUAAGUGAGGUGUGAAAGCCCUGGGCUUAACCUAGGAAUUGCAUUUCAGACUGGGUAACUAGAGUACUUUAGGGAGGGGUAGAAUUCCACGUGUAGCGGUGAAAUGCGUAGAGAUGUGGAGGAAUACCGAAGGCGAAGGCAGCCCCUUGGGGAUGUACUGACGCUCAUGUGCGAAAGCGUGGGGAGCAAACAGGAUUAGAUACCCUGGUAGUCCACGCUGUAAACGCUGUCGAUUUGGGGGUUGGGGUUUAACUCUGGCGCCCGUAGCUAACGUGAUAAAUCGACCGCCUGGGGAGUACGGCCGCAAGGUUA
rnacentral:rRNA from 1 species